rnacentral:rRNA from 1 species
CCCAAGAGAUCGGGAUAACACCUGGAAACAGAUGCUAAUACCGGAUAACAACAGAUGAUGCCUAUCAACUGUUUAAAAGAUGGUUCUGCUAUCACUCUUGGAUGGACCUGCGGUGCAUUAGCUAGUUGGUAGGGUAACGGCCUACCAAGGCGAUGAUGCAUAGCCCGAGUUGAGAGACUGAUGGCCACAUUGGGACUGAGACACGGCCCAAACUCCUACGGGAGGCAGCAGUC